UACGUAGGGUGCAAGCGUUGUCCGGAAUUAUUGGGCGUAAAGAGCUCGUAGGCGGUCCGAUAAGUCGGCUGUGAAAGUCAGGGGCUCAACCCUUGAAAGCCGGCCGAUACUGUCGGACUAGAGUCCGGAAGAGGCAAGUGGAAUUCCCGGUGUAGCGGUGAAAUGCGCAGAUAUCGGGAGGAACACCAAUGGCGAAGGCAGCUUGCUGGGACGGUACUGACGCUCAUGCACGAAAGCGUGGGGAGCAAACAGG
rnacentral:rRNA from 1 species